GUAUGUUAAACACCCAGCAGGAAAGUAUAACCAAAAUAUGAAAUUAUUGGUCUAUUUCUUGAACAGUUUAAGGGACCAUACUCCCUAGACAUUAGAUUUAAAACCAUAUGAGAUGUUGUUUAGACAACCAUUUCUCAUUAGUGAUUUUCUUCUUGAUAAGAAAAAUGCUGCCCAGAUAUAAAACGUCAUGACUUUGGCUGAUCUCAGCACAUUAUCUACCUGCAACCAAGAGAGACAAUCUCCCUACUUUUAACUACCAUUUGGUUCUCAAGUUGAAAUGAUUUUCUCUCUCCCUCUUUAGAAGCCAUGUGACAAAGCCCUCACUGUGAUUCCAACAGCUACCAAUGUGUCUGAAAGCAGAUCCUGGGUUCAUCAUUCUCCAGACCAGCUUGGAUCAGUUGCUACUAUGUGGACCUUUUCCGAAAACAGUCACCUAUUUUGUUUGUAAUGAAUUGGCCUCUAGUAUUUUCCUCUCCUUCAGCUCUUCUACUUUUACAGGGCCAUCUGACCCUUUACAUGGAGCCUCAGAUAUAGACUGCCUAUCAAAAUAGGACCAGUUCCAGGAGCCUGCCUCAUAGGAGUUCCCCCUCUCUUGAACCGACACCUCCUCUGGACUACGCCCCCUCACAGCAUGAAGCAGCUAGAGCGGUCAUCACCCCCUUUCCUGACAAUAAGUGGUGUCGAUCUCUGAGAUGGGGAAUGAAGGCAAGUUAGAUGGACAUAGGUAGACAAGGAAAAUGAGAGCCGGCUUCUUGACAUAAGGCUUCCUGUUCCCAGAAGACAUUGUGAGAAGAAAAGACAAGGUGUGGGAGCUCAAACUAUAGAGGAAGAGGGGAGAGGGACCCUAUAAAAAUACCUAAGCCAGAAGCCUUUUAGAGGAAUUCUAGCCUUAGGUACCACCUAUCCUAAAGGAAUAAAGCUGUUAGUUUCACUGUU
rnacentral:lncRNA from 1 species